ensembl:lncRNA
CAUGGGCCCAAGCCCUUAAGCCUGUCUCCCUUCCUUUACGAAGCAUCCACAGCCCUCAGUCUUCCCCUGGCCUUCUCUUCUGCUACCUUCCUCACCCUCCCUGCUCCUGGGACAGCCUGGACUCCCUCUGCAGUGUCCGUCCAUAGUGCGGACAUUAGGCUCACUGCCCCUUGCCCUUGGCAGGCUUCCAGCGAAGCCACGAAGUGAGGCCCCGUGUAACUGAAGGAUGGACGCAUUCCCCAGAUGCCCCAGGUGAAUUCCCUGUGAAAAGGGGUCUUCAGAUAGGAAAAGUGAACUUGGAAGAUGGGCCUCAGACAGGCAAGGGGGCUCCCUCUCUCUAAAGUCCUGUGACCUGAGGGCAGAUGUUACAAGACGAUAGAAGCCUAAGGGUGGCCUACGUGGUGUUUGGGUAAAGCAGUCAGACUGCCUUGCGAAAAUCGAGGCUUUCCUCUCAACUAACUCCAUGUCUGUAUCUAUUUAGACUGAACCCCACUAUGAGAAAGACACACACACACACACACACCACAAUUUGUAGAGGUGGGGGUGGUUAUUUUUCUCACGUAAUGAAAAGUCAGAAGGAAGGUAGUCCAAAUGUCAUCAGCCACCUGAGCUCUUUUAAUCCCUCUACGCAGCCUUCCUUAGCACACACUUCUUCCCUCAUGGGCAGAAGAUGGCUGCCCCAUCUCCAACAUCAAGUCCUAACUCCAAACAGGAAGAAUAAGGUCAAAGGACCAGUUGAAUCUUCAUCCCUUAUAAGGCGUUUUCUGGAAGUCCCACGCAUCUCAUUGACUCAAACUGUGUCACAUGGCAAGUAAGGGCACGCCCCCAGUUCAGAAGCUCUCCUCUCCCCAGCAUCAUCUUUAUAAUUUCAUGUGGUUAACGUCUGCUUCAGAGAAGGAAAUGGCAACCCACUCCAGUAUUCUUGCCUGGAGAAUCCCAGGGACAGAGGAGCGUGGUGGGCUGCUGUCUACGGGGUCGCACAGAGUCGGACACGACUGAAGCGGCUUAGCAGCAGCAGCAGCAGUGUCUGCUUCUGUGGCAGGUGAAGCUCAAUCAGGCAGUCUGUACAGAGAAACUUGCCCUUUAAAAAGUGUCCUCUAACCCCUCAUGCGCAUGGGGGGGGGGGGUGUGGUGUGUGUGUGUGUGUGUGUGUGUGUGUGUGUGUGUGUGUGUGUGUGUGUGUGUCUGUCUGUCUGUCUGUCUGUCUGUCUGUCUGUCUGUCUUUAGGGCUGGGGACGCCCUGAAGCAGGUUGAGGGCAGGUUCUGUGAUGCAUCUUUCUACUCUCAGCAUCUUCACAACUCCUGUACUCAAAGACUAGCUGAGAAUGGUUUUGGCUGCCAGCGCUUUCCGCCUCCCUCCUCAUCGGGAACCUUCACUGGAACCUUUCCCCGUGUUUCUGGGGGACCGCGGAGCCCCUCCACU